rnacentral:rRNA from 1 species
GACGUAGGGCGCGAGCGUUGUCCGGAUUUAUUGGGCGUAAAGAGCUCGUAGGCGGCUUGUCGCGUCGGCCGUGAAAACCUGCAGCUUAACUGUGGGCGUGCGGUCGAUACGGGCAUCACUGGAGUUCGGCAGGGGAGACUGGAAUUCCUGGUGUAGCGGUGAAAUGCGCAGAUAUCAGGAGGAACACCGGUGGCGAAGGCGGGUCUCUGGGCCGAUAUUGACGCUGAGGAGCGAAAGCGUGGGGAGCGAACAGG